UUCAACGGCCGCGGUAUUUAUAACCGUGCAAAGGUAGCAUAAUCAUUAGUCUUUUAAUUGAAGGCUUGUAUGAAAGGUUUGACAAGAGAGAUACUGUCUUUAUUUAAAUAAAAAUUGAAUUUAACUUUUAAGUGAAAAGGCUUAAAUAAUUCAGAGGGACGAUAAGACCCUAUAAAGUUUUAUAAAUAAAGUAAAUUUUUUCUAAAUUUUUAAAAGUUAAGAUUUAUAUUUUAUUAAGUUGGGGAAACUAAGGUAUAAUUUAUUAUAAUUGCUUUAAAUUAUAUACAAAUAUAAUUGAAUAGAAAUUAAAUGGUCCUUUAAUUAUUUAAAGAUUUGAAGAUGAAAUUACUUUAGGGAUAACAGCGUUAUUUUUUUUAAGAGUUCUUA
rnacentral:rRNA from 1 species